rfam:Triticum aestivum genome assembly, contig: Triticum_aestivum_CS42_TGACv1_scaffold_456742_5DS
UAUGUACUUUCUUCGUCCGGAAAUACUUGUCGGAGAAAUGGAUGUACCUAGACAUAUUUUAGUUCUAGAUACAUCCAGUUUUAUUCAUUUCCGCGACAAGUAAUUCCGGACGGAGGGAGUAUAUA